UGAUUAUGCCAAUAAAAUUAUCCGUCUAACGUUUCUUUAAAAUAAAUAAAAAAAAAAACAGAAAUUGCGUUUACCUACCCUAAUACGUACUAUUUGCACCCUAAUGACGUGGCCUAAUUAAACCGCCAAACUCUAUCCACCCUAUUAAUAGCCCCUUUUUUCCGCCAAUACCAAGUCCUUCUAAGCAACUAACUGCACGCACAACCGUCCGAUCAUCCUAUUAACCAUGCAAUCUCAACCGUCCAUUACUUUUCUUGAUCCACUAUAUAUAUCUGAUACUUUUACCUGUUUCUGUUUUCUAAUUCCUUUUCUCUCUCCUCUUAACCACGUCUUCUUCUCCUCGAUCAGAUUUCUCCAAACAAUUUUUCGUUCUUCAACUUAAUCAAUUAAUCAUUCUUCAAAUUCAUUGAUUAAUCGUUCUUCGAAUUCAUUGACUAAUUGUUCAAUGAUUUAUUUGAUUUGCGUCGAUUUGCGAUUAUUUCUUCAAUUUUUGCAGAUUUGAUUGAUUACGGAGGACUUUUGCAACGCUCUGAUGUGUGGACUAGUGGUUUGGUCUUGAUUGAUUGUCGGAUGUUCUGCACGGUUCAGUAGGCUGAUGGGGCGCUAUAAGAAGAUGGCUGCGCUGCGGUUUUGCUCUCCCAAUUUUAUGGUGUGUUCAUAUAAUAUGUAUAUUGGUGAGUUUUGUGAUAUGUGGAUGAGAAAAGUGGUAGUAUUAGUUCGUAUGGUCGGUGUGUUGGGGAGAACGGAGUGUUUUCCUUGUUUUGGUGAAUUGGUCUUGUUAGUCGACCUUUGCCAUGUCGGGUGCGCUUGCUUGGCAGGUCAUCAAUGUUAAUAAAAGAUCUUUUUGUGGUUUUGUUGGGAGAUGGCACGGGGUUUUUCCCGGCUCUCCCAACCGUGUGUGCGUGUGUUGUGUCUGUUUUUCUUUAUUUUUCUCCCUUUCCCUGCACCCCAAUUGCGCUUGAAUCAUCAAACUCCACCACUAUUGCCACCAACAUCGAGCAAAUCCACUGUCAAAUGAUUUCGAUGGACAACAUAUUUGGCCAAGAUCCAAUUUUGCCAAGGUAUAUUUAUCAAAUUCUAUUUAUAUCAAAAUCCUUUCUAAUUUCCCUUUUAGGUACUCAGUACUAUUUAAAUUGCAAUGUUAUCUGCAAAGGUUAAGGUGGUGUCAUUAUUCUUCAAUUGUCCCUUGACAUCAAUGCGUCUUACAAUUGUUGUCUUCGAAAUUGUUUGCAUGCACAGAGCCCUGCUUUUCGAAUCUUUCUAAAUCAGGACUCCUACAAUUGUCUUGUACGGAUUAUAUAUUAAGAAAUUCUGCUUAUUUAGAACUUAAUUUAUAGUGAGAAUGUCGAGCAUGUAGAACAUCUCUUCAUUGACUUACCCAUGCAAAUUUUUCUCCAUGAACUUUAGCUUAACUUCCAUGAUCAUCAAGUGGAAAGCUACAUUCAUAUCCCAGUUUUAUUGCAUAUAUAUUUAUCAAAGAAUAGGUAACCAUGUUCUUGAAUAAGCUACUCUGAUUAAGCAACUUCCACGCAAUUUGUUGAGGGUAUUGCAAAUUAGUUAGGAAUACUACUUGCCAGCUGCACAAAUAGGUCAUAUAUGCCUCUGGAUUGUACGCUGUACCGAUCCUCCUUUAUGUGUAUUGCAUCAAACAUCAUAUAUGUGUACGCUGCACCAAUCCUCAUAUUUGUGUACGUAGUUACCCCAUACAGAUUAUAACUUAUGAAAUCAUAUCGUUUGGGGUUAUUUGGUAAUCUCUCAACCAUGUAAAUAUUUAGUUUCACAGCUUCAUGCCACUGUAAUCCUUGAGGUAGAUUCUAAGUUUAUUUCUUAUGCAUUCUGUUCAGGCAACUUGAUGCUCAAUUUAAUUUAAACCUUUUAUUUCCAAUGAGCAAUUUUUGAUUUUUUUUUUUAAUCCUGAUCUUUCUUGGUUGUGAUUUGCAUUUUACAUUACUGUCAACUGAGAACAAUAGUGUUGAGUCUUUCAAGUGUUUGUAGUUAGUGGUGUAAUAGAAUUUGUAUCAUUCUCUUUGUACACUUUUGUAUUAGAAGUUCUUCUACAGGUUUUGUACAUUCUAGGUGCCAGACUGUUGAUACUCUAAUGCUAUGUGGCCAAGUUGCUGUUCUGAUUCCGAAGAUCUCAUCUGCACAAGUUCAUAACUGUAGCCGUUUGUUAGUUUUGCAUGGGUGGUUCGCCUAGCAAUGAGGCACUAUCAAAUAUGCUCGUUAGAAAGCUUUGGUAGUUGUGAUGACAGCACUUAUUCUGAAUAUGUUCUCAAUGCCAAAGCAAUCAAGAAUAGUUGGAAGUAUUUUUCGUUGAUGGUUGAUGUGUUUUGCUAAUGUCACAACGUCAAUGAUUCAAUGCUAUCAAUAAUAUUCAUUGAUUGAUUGUUUAUUAAGACUAUUUCUCAAAGAUAUGUUUUCCCUGCUUUUUCUUA